rnacentral:rRNA from 1 species
CAGCACCUCAAGUGGUCAGGAUGAUUAUUGGGCCUAAAGCAUCCGUAGCCGGCGCUGUAAGUUUUCGGUUAAAUCUGUACGCUCAACGUACAGGCUGCCGGGAAUACUGCAGCGCUAGGGAGUGGGAGAGGUAGACGGUACUCGGUAGGAAGGGGUAAAAUCCUUUGAUCUAUUGAUGACCACCUGUGGCGAAGGCGGUCUACCAGAACACGUCCGACGGUGAGGGACGAAGGCUAGGGGAGCGAUCCGGAUUAGAUACCCGCGUAGUCC